rnacentral:misc_RNA from 1 species
GAUGAAGAACGUAGUGAAAUGCGAUAAGUAAUGUGAAUUGCAGAAUUCAGCGAAUCAUCGAAUCUUUGAACGCACAUUGCGCCCUCUGGUAUUCCGGGGGGCAUGCCUGUUCGAGCGUCAUUAUAACCACUCAAGCUCUCGCUUGGUAUUGGGGUUCGCGGUUCCGCGGCCCCUAAAAUCAGUGGCGGUGCCUGUCGGCUCUACGCGUAGUAAUACUCCUCGCGAUUGAGUCCGGUAGGUCUACUUGCCAGCAACCCCCAAUUUUUACAGGUUGACCUCGGAUCAGGUAGGGAUACCCGCUGAACUUAAGCAUAUCAAUAAGCGGAGGA